rnacentral:rRNA from 1 species
UACGUAGGGGGCAAGCGUUGUCCGGAAUCAUUGGGCGUAAAGAGCUCGUAGGCGGUUUGUCGCGUCGACUGUGAAAACCCGAGGCUUAACCUCGGGCCUGCAGUCGAUACGGGCAGACUAGAGUUCGGUAGGGGAGACUGGAAUUCCUGGUGUAGCGGUGAAAUGCGCAGAUAUCAGGAGGAACACCGGUGGCGAAGGCGGGUCUCUGGGCCGAUACUGACGCUGAGGAGCGAAAGCGUGGGGAGCGAACAGG